rfam:Equus caballus chromosome 16, whole genome shotgun sequence.
UAGAGCUUUGGGCAGCUCUGGGUAAGCUAACGAAAUAAAAUUCUGGUGCUGAAAAGCUGUUUGUGACCCUGAUCAACA